CCUCUGGAAUCUGAGGAACCCAUGUCGUUCUCUCCCCUUCCCGGGUCUUUCACUGAGCAAAUAAACUUGGAUACAUUUGAAUUCAAUUUUGAGACUUUGUAAAGGAUCUACGAAGAGUAGGUUUAGGGAUGUAUAUGAUACCUCUGAAUGUAAUGCCAGUGAAAACGUGGACUGAAAAGCAUUCAUUCUGAAGUGGAUGCUGGGGAAGGAAUCCCUCUAAGAAAAUGAAAACUUUCAUCAAGUAACGAACCCUUAGUAUGUGUAAAAGUUUUGCUAUCUUGUCAAAAGCACCUGGUGUUGAGCUACUUGUUUCCUUAUUCUGUUUCCAGCAGAAACCAUUCCUUUUUCCCCAAAGGUAAUGUAAAAACAUAUAAUGAAUAUGAUGAGUAUCAAACAUUUAAGUCUGUAAAACCAUUUGCUUUGUUCGUUCCAUUUAAAUAAAUGAAGAUAUUUUAAUGCAGGAGCCAGAAAGAUCCAGGCUCAGAGAAGAGAAAUGGUGUGGAGUUCAUGCUUCAAGGACAUAUGCGUUCACAACUGUGGCCAGAAAAUGUCAGGCUUGGCCUCCAUAGUUUUUAUUACACUGUACUCUGUAUUGAUGACUUUUCUUUCCAGUUUUUUUUUUUAAGGAACUAAUGUAGUUCACAUUGCUACCACGCUACUUUAGCAUCUGCAGAUAGUUGGUGUAAUUGCACAUGUUCUGUGCUAGCUCAAAUAAAUCACAGCAACCCUUUC